rnacentral:rRNA from 1 species
CCUACGGGGGGCAGCAGUGGGGAAUAUUGCACAAUGGGGGAAACCCUGAUGCAGCGACGCCGCGUGAAGGAAGAAGUAUCUCGGUAUGUAAACUUCUAUCAGCAGGGAAGAAAAUGACGGUACCUGACUAAGAAGCUCCGGCUAAAUACGUGCCAGCAGCCGCGGUAAUACGUAGGGGGCAAGCGUUAUCCGGAUUUACUGGGUGCAAAGGGAGCGUAGACGGCAGCGCAAGUCUGGAGUGAAAUGCCGGGGCUCAACCCCGGAACUGCUUUGGAAACUGUGCAGCUAGAGUGCGGGAGAGGUAA